UCUCCCCUCCCCGCCUUUUUAAGGGUUUUUAACAAGCUCAGAUUGAACGCUGGCGGCAGGCCUAACACAUGCAAGUCGAGCGGAUGAAGGGAGCUUGCUCCUGGAUUCAGCGGCGGACGGGUGAGUAAUGCCUAGGAAUCUGCCUGGUAGUGGGGGAUAACGUCCGGAAACGGGCGCUAAUACCGCAUACGUCCUGAGGGAGAAAGUGGGGGAUCUUCGGACCUCACGCUAUCAGAUGAGCCUAGGUCGGAUUAGCUAGUUGGUGGGGUAAAGGCCUACCAAGGCGACGAUCCGUAACUGGUCUGAGAGGAUGAUCAGUCACACUGGAACUGAGACACGGUCCAGACUCCUACGGGAGGCAGCAGUGGGGAAUAUUGGACAAUGGGCGAAAGCCUGAUCCAGCCAUGCCGCGUGUGUGAAGAAGGUCUUCGGAUUGUAAAGCACUUUAAGUUGGGAGGAAGGGCAGUAAGUUAAUACCUUGCUGUUUUGACGUUACCAACAGAAUAAGCACCGGCUAACUUCGUGCCAGCAGCCGCGGUAAUACGAAGGGUGCAAGCGUUAAUCGGAAUUACUGGGCGUAAAGCGCGCGUAGGUGGUUCAGCAAGUUGGAUGUGAAAUCCCCGGGCUCAACCUGGGAACUGCAUCCAAAACUACUGAGCUAGAGUACGGUAGAGGGUGGUGGAAUUUCCUGUGUAGCGGUGAAAUGCGUAGAUAUAGGAAGGAACACCAGUGGCGAAGGCGACCACCUGGACUGAUACUGACACUGAGGGCGAAAGACGCC
rnacentral:rRNA from 1 species